rnacentral:hammerhead_ribozyme from 1 species
AUCCAGAUGACGAGCCCCAAAUAGGAGGAAAUGUGCGUUAUCCUGGAU